UGGGAUACAGUUCAGUGGUAGAGCACAUGCUUAGCAUGCUUGAGGUCCUGGGUUUAAUUCCCAGUACUCCAU
rnacentral:tRNA from 1 species